CAUUAGAUUGAAUGUUUUUCCUCCCAUAACAGUCAAAAAUGUUGGCACAACGACAUCUGCUUUAAUUCCAUUUGCCAACACAAAGUACUCAAAACGUUAUGUGUAAGAACUCUAUUGUUCCACAGAUUCAUCAAAUGUUCCUAUAUUUCCAACCAAUGCAGACAUUUUUGGUUUAUUUUUCUUUCUCACACUUUUCAGACGGUCCCUUACUCCCAGACCCUUUUUUUUCUUUUAACUCACGCUGACGUCACUUUCUCCCGCAGCGAAACUCUUCCUAUCCCUCAAGAGGGUCUUAUUGCUGUGUCAUCAAAGAUAGCGAGCGUCACUCGACUGGCUAGCUCCACGUUUUGUUUGCGUCUUUUUCUACAGCGAAAAAAUAUAACGAAUUGAACUCUGACUUUCUGCCGAAGAUAAUGAGCACAAACGUGAGAACGUUUCUUCUUCGUCGCCAGUUUUGUUGUAAAGCACACUAGAUUACUUACACAACUAAUAUAAGGACAGGACAGGACAUGAGACGGGAGUAGAAAUUAACGUGGGCAUUGUUUAAUGCGUUUUUCAGGAAGAACAUUUCAAGCAUUUCAACGUAGCCCUUGUGGGAAGGACUCUCCCUCUCUGAAGAAGCGCACCAAUUUUUCGUACGACUUGAACAAGAUGGGACACCUCUUAAGGGCGAGGUGCGAGCGGAGGGCCACACAAUCCCAUCAACACCCUUCUGCUACACUCCUCCUCCUCCGUUCCAGUGUCCUGCGCUUGACAUUUUACACACCGCGGAUAAAAAUAAACAGAUCUACUGGAAUGUCGGAAAAUAAAGUGUCUGCGUUUCGUCCUCCUGCGGCAAUAGGAGAAAUGUUACCACUCAAAUGCUGUCAUGCCAGAACUGCUUAAUGUUUUGUUACACUGUGAUUUAAUGAAUUAACAUCCAACUGUGACCAUAUAAGAGAAGUGAUGCCCUGUGGGACUAAGAAGAGAGAUUUCUUUAGACAGAAGAUUCAGCUUUUAUAUGUAAGGCCUUGGAUUGUCAUUACCAUACAUUAUGAUAAUGAAAUGUAUGUGAUAUUGUUUUGUGGUUAUGUAUGUAAUAAUGUGUUUGAGGUGAUAAUGUACAGUAUGUGAUAAUGUGUGUGGUGUGGUAAUGUAUAGAAACA